GGCGCUGAUGGUGUAGGGGUUGGGGCGCGACCGCGUGCAGAGGCUGCGGUCCUCGGGGCGGCCGUCCCGGGUUCAAGUCCCGGACCCAGCGACA